rnacentral:rRNA from 1 species
UUGGAGGGCAAGUCUGGUGCCAGCAGCCGCGGUAAUUCCAGCUCCAAUAGCGUAUAUUAAAGUUGUUGCAGUUAAAAAGCUCGUAGUUGAAUUUCGGGGUUAGUAGGUUGGUCAUGCCACUGGUAUGUACUGAUCUUACUGAUUCCUCCUUCCUGAUGAACCGUAAUGCCAUUAAUUUGGUAUUGCGGGGAGACUGGACUGUUACUUUGAAAAAAUUAGAGUGUUUAAAGCAGGCUAACGCUUGAAUACAUUAGUAUGGAAUAAUGAAAUAGGACGUUCGAUCCUAUUUUGUUGGUUUCUAGGGUUGACGUAAUGAUUAAUAGGGAUAGUUGGGGGCAUUAGUAUUCAAUUGUCAGAGGUGAAAUUCUUGGAUUUAUUGAAGACUAACUACUGCGAAAGCAUUUGCCAAGGAUGUUUUCAUUAAUCAAGAACGAAAGUUAGGGGAUCGAAGACGAUCAGAUACCGUCGUAGUCUUAACCAUAAACUAUGCCGACUAGGGAUCGGAUGAUGUUAAUUUUUUAAUGACUCAUUCGGCGCCUUACGGGAAAC